rnacentral:rRNA from 1 species
UACGUAGGGUGCGAGCGUUAAUCGGAAUUACUGGGCGUAAAGCGUGCGCAGGCGGCUUCGCAAGUCAGGCGUGAAAUCCCCGGGCUUAACCUGGGAAUGGCGUCUGAAACUGCGGAGCUGGAGUGUGGCAGAGGGAGGUAGAAUUCCACGUGUAGCGGUGAAAUGCGUAGAUAUGUGGAGGAAUACCGAUGGCGAAGGCAGCCUCCUGGGCCAACACUGACGCUCAUGCACGAAAGCGUGGGGAGCAAACAGG